rnacentral:rRNA from 1 species
GAUGAACGCUGGCGGCGUGCCUAAUACAUGCAAGUCGAACGAAACUUCUUUAUCACCGAGUGCUUGCACUCACCGAUAAAGAGUUGAGUGGCGAACGGGUGAGUAACACGUGGGCAACCUGCCCAAAAGAGGGGGAUAACACUUGGAAACAGGUGCUAAUACCGCAUAACCAUAGUUACCGCAUGGUAACUAUGUAAAAGGUGGCUAUACUACCGCUUUUGGAUGGGCCCGCGGCGCAUUAGCUAGUUGGUAGGGUAAAGGCUUACCAAGGCAAUGAUGCGUAGCCGAAUUGAGAGGUUGAUCGGCCACAUUGGGACUGAGACACGGCCCAAACUCCUACGGGAGGCAGCAGUAGGGAAUCUUCCACAAUGGGCGAAAGCCUGAUGGAGCAACGCCGCGUGGGUGAAGAAGGUCUUCGGAUCGUAAAACCCUGUUGUUAGAGAAGAAAGUGCAUGAGAGUAACUGUUCACGUUUCGACGGUAUCUAACCAGAAAGCCACGGCUAACUACGUG